rnacentral:rRNA from 1 species
UACGUAGGGGGCAAGCGUUGUCCGGAAUCAUUGGGCGUAAAGAGCGUGUAGGCGGUCCGGUAAGUCCGCUGUAAAAGUCAAGGGCUCAACCCUUGAAAGCCGGUGGAUACUGCCGGGCUAGAGUCCGGAAGAGGCGAGUGGAACUCCUGGUGUAGCGGUGAAAUGCGCAGAUAUCAGGAAGAACACCUACGGCGAAGGCAGCUCGCUGGGACGGUACUGACGCUGAGACGACGAAGCGUGGGGAGCAAACAGG